rnacentral:tRNA from 1 species
GCCCCGUUAGCUCAGCUGGUAGAGCAGUUGCCUCUUAAGCAAACGGUCGGGGGUUCGAAUCCCUCACGGGGCACCA